UACGUAGGGUGCGAGCGUUGUCCGGAAUUAUUGGGCGUAAAGAGCUCGUAGGCGGUCUGUCGCGUCUGCUGUGAAAACCCGAGGCUCAACCUCGGGCCUGCAGUGGGUACGGGCAGACUAGAGUGCGGUAGGGGAGAAUGGAACUCCUGGUGUAGCGGUGGAGUGCGCAGAUAUCAGGAAGAACACCGAUGGCGAAGGCAGGUCUCUGGGCAGUAACUGACGCUGAGGAGCGAAAGCGUGGGGAUCAAACAGG
rnacentral:rRNA from 1 species